UACGUAGGGGGCUAGCGUUGUCCGGAAUCAUUGGGCGUAAAGCGCGUGUAGGCGGCCCGGUAAGUCCGCUGUGAAAGUCGGGGGCUCAGCCCUCGGAUGCCGGUGGAUACUGUCGGGCUCGAGUACGGAAGAGGCGAGUGGAAUUCCUGGUGUAGCGGUGAAAUGCGCAGAUAUCAGGAGGAACACCGGUGGCGAAGGCGGAUCUCUGGGCCAUUACUGACGCUGAGGAGCGAAAGCGUGGGGAGCGAACAGG
rnacentral:rRNA from 1 species